CGAUCGGUAGCCGGACUGAGAGGUUGAACGGCCACAUUGGGACUGAGACACGGCCCAGACUCCUACGGGAGGCAGCAGUGGGGAAUAUUGCACAAUGGGGGAAACCCUGAUGCAGCGACGCCGCGUGAGCGAUGAAGUAUUUCGGUAUGUAAAGCCCUGUUGUUGAGGAAGAUAAUGACGGUACUCAACAAGGAAGUGACGGCUAACUACGUGCCAGCAGCCGCGGUAAAACGUAGGUCACAAGCGUUGUCCGGAAUUACUGGGUGUAAAGGGAGCGCAGGCGGGCGAUCAAGUUGGAAGUGAAAUCCAUGGGCUCAACCCAUGAACUGCUUUCAAAACUGAUUGUCUUGAGUAGUGCAGAGGUAGGCGGAAUUCCCGGUGUAGCGGUGGAAUGCGUAGAUAUCGGGAGGAACACCAGUGGCGAAGGCGGCCUACUGGGCACCAACUGACGCUGAGGCUCGAAAGUGUGGGUAGCAAACAGGAUUAGAUACCCUGGUAGUCCACACCGUAAACGAUGAUUACUAGGUGUUGGAGGAUUGACCCUUUCAGUGCCGCAGUUAACACAAUAAGUAAUCCACCUGGGGAGUACGACCGCAAGGUUGAAGCUCAAAGGAAUUGACGGGGGCCCGCACAAGCAGUGGAGUAUGUGGUUUAAUUCGACGCAACGCGAAGAACCUUACCAAGUCUUGACAUCCUGCGACGAUGCUAGAAAUAGUAUUUUCCUUCGGGACGCAGAGACAGGUGGUGCAUGGUUGUCGUCAGCUCGUGUCGUGAGAUGUUGGGUUAAGUCCCGCAACGAGCGCAACCCUUAUGGUCAGUUACUACGCAAGAGGACUCUGGCCAGACUGCCGUUGACAAAACGGAGGAAGGUGGGGAUGGCGUCAAAUCAUCAUGCCCUUUAUGACUUGGGCUACACACGUACUACAAUGGCGUUAAACAAAGAGAAGCAAGACCGCGAGGUGGAGCAAAACUCAGAAACAACGUCCCAGUUCGGACUGCAGGCUGCAACUCGCCUGCACGAAGUCGGAAUUGCUAGUAAUCGCAGAUCAGCAUGCUGCGGUGAAUACGUUCCCGGGCCUUGUACACACCGCCCGUCACACCAUGAGAGCCGGGGGGACCCGAAGUCGGUAGUCUAACCGCAAGGAGGACGCCGCCGAAGGUAAAACUGGUGAUUGGGGUGAAGUCGUAACAAGGUAGCCGUAGGAGUACCUGCGGCUG
rnacentral:rRNA from 1 species